GAUGAAGAACGCAGCGAAAUGCGAUAAGUAGUGUGAAUUGCAGAAUUCAGUGAAUCAUCGAAUCUUUGAACGCACAUUGCGCCCCAUGGUAUUCCGUGGGGCAUGCCUGUUCGAGCGUCAUUUACCCCCUCAAGCUCCGCUUGGUGUUGGGCGUCUGUCCCGCUUCGCGCGCGGACUCGCCCCAAAGGUAUUGGCAGCGGUCGUGCCAGCUUCUCGCGCAGCACAUUGCGCUUCUCGAGGCACCGGUGGGCCCGCGUCCAUCAAGCUCACCCCCCCAGUUUGACCUCGGAUCAGGUAGGGAUACCAGCUGAACUUAAGCAUAUCAAUAGCGGAGGA
rnacentral:misc_RNA from 1 species